rnacentral:RNase_P_RNA from 1 species
UGAGUAGCAUAAAUGGUCGCACCGAUUAGGUGAGGAAAGUCCGGGCUUCACAGGGCAGAGUGCCGGAUAACGUCCGGUGGAGGCGACUCCAAGGCUAGUGCAACAGAAAUAUACCGCCAAUCUUUUGAUUGGUAAGGGUGGAAAGGUGGCUUAAGAGACCACCGCCCUUCUGGUAACAGAAGGGGCAGAUGUAAACCCCACUCGAAGCAAGACCUAACAAAAGCGAUACGGUUGCCCGCCGUGCUUUGGGUUGGUCGCGGAAUAAAGGCGAAAGCUUUUAUUCGAGCCACAUGGUAACAUGUGGUCCAGAUAGAUGACCAUUCACGACAUAACCCGGCUUAUCGUGCUACUCAUACC